UACGGGAGGCAGCAGUGGGGAAUAUUGCACAAUGGGCGAAAGCCUGAUGCAGCGACGCCGCGUGAGGGAUGACGGCCUUCGGGUUGUAAACCUCUUUCAGCAGGGAAGAAGCGCAAGUGACGGUACCUGCAGAAGAAGCACCGGCUAACUACGUGCCAGCAGCCGCGGUAAUACGUAGGGUGCGAGCGUUGUCCGGAAUUAUUGGGCGUAAAGAGCUCGUAGGCGGCCUGUCGCGUCGGAUGUGAAAGCCCGGGGCUUAACCCCGGGUCUGCAUUCGAUACGGGCAGGCUAGAGUGUGGUAGGGGAGAUCGGAAUUCCUGGUGUAGCGGUGAAAUGCGCAGAUAUCAGGAGGAACACCGGUGGCGAAGGCGGAUCUCUGGGCCAUUACUGACGCUGAGGAGCGAAAGCGUGGGGAGCGAACAGGAUUAGAUACCCUGGUAGUCCACGCCGUAAACGUUGGGAACUAGGUGUUGGCGACAUUCCACGUCGUCGGUGCCGCAGCUAACGCAUUAAGUUCCCCGCCUGGGGAGUACGGCCGCAAGGCUAAAACUCAAAGGAAUUGACGGGGGCCCGCACAAGCAGCGGAGCAUGUGGCUUAAUUCGACGCAACGCGAAGAACCUUACCAAGGCUUGACAUAUGCCGGAAACAUCCAGAGAUGGGUGCCCCCUUGUGGUCGGUAUACAGGU
rnacentral:rRNA from 1 species